rnacentral:rRNA from 1 species
UGAGGAAUUUUGCGCAAUGGGAGCAAUCCUGACGCAGCAACGCCGCGUGGGUGAUGAAGGCCUUCGGGUCGUAAAGCCCUGUCAGGUGGGAAGAAUGUCCCGGAACUGAACAGGUUUCGGGAGUGACGGUACCACCAGAGGAAGCACCGGCUAACUCCGUGCCAGCAGCCGCGGUAAUACGGAGGGUGCAAGCGGUAUUCGGAAUUACUGGGCGUAAAGCGCGUGUAGGCGGUCCUGCAAGUCUGAGGUGAAAGCCCCGGGCUUAACCCGGGAAGUGCAUUGGAAACUGCAGGUCUUGAGUACUGGAGAGGAUGGGGGAAUUCCCGGUGUAGAGGUGAAAUUCGUAGAGAUCGGGAGGAAUAUCAGUGGCGAAGGCGCCCAUCUGGACGGUAACUGACGCUGAGACGCGAAAGCGUGGGGAGCAAACA